AUCUACUAGCGGUGGGCUAGGAUUGAACUUCUGCUCUUCUUUAUAUUUAUUAGUUUAUUAAUCCUCAGCUUCAUUGAAUUCUUACAUCUACUCAUUGGUUAGCAGUCAAUAUUUUACUCAUAUAACCAUCACAAAUCCCAUGGUUCUUAAUCCUAUGAUGUGAGACGAGGUAUAUGCACUCAAUGGGAGAGAAAAGUAUUCUGUGUUUUCUAUAUUUUAUUGAUGUGUAGUGUACAGUAUUUAUACGCACUUGAUACCCACAAAUUAGGUUUUGAAGAGGAGAAUUUGGGUGGAGGCCCAAAUUCACAUGGUUGACCUCACCUCAUGUCUAGUUUCACGAUCGUCACGAUUGUGCAACACUUGUUCUAAUCUAGCAAAUAAGUCAAAUUACUUUAUCGCCUAAAAUUAUGGAGAAUAAAGAAAAGUCUAUUGGGCCAAGGUCAGCCCAAUAGGUGUGGGCUGUCUUUGGGCUUUUCAAUAAAAGGUGGGGCUGAACCAUGGAGAAUAAAGAAUAGUCUAUUGGGCCAAAGUUAGCCCAAUAGGUAUGGGCUGACUUGGGCCUUUUUCAGAAAAAAGGUGUGGCUGAAACAUGGAGAACAAGGAAUAGUCUGUUGGGCCGAAGUCAGCCCAAUUGGUGUGGGCUGACUUGGGCCUUUUCAGAAAAAGGUGUGGCUGAAACAUGGAGAAUAAAGAAUACUCUAUUGGGCCGAAGUCAGCCCAAUAGGUGUGGGCUGACUUGGGCCUUCAGAAAGAGGUGUGGCUGAAACAUGGAGAAUAAAGAAUACUCUAUUGGGCCGAAGUCAGCCCAAUAGGUAUGGGCUGACUUGGGCCUUUCAGAAAGAGGUGGCUGAAACAUGGAGAAUAAAGAAUACUCUAUUGGGCUGAAGUCAGCCCAAUAGGUGUGGGCUGACUUGGGCCUUUCAGAAAAAGGUGUGGCUGAAACAUAGAGAAUAAAGAAUACUCUACUGGGCCGAACUCAGGGCACUAAGAAGGGGCAAUUUCGUCUUUGAAUGAAUGAGGCGUGAAUUGGGACGAUAAGCCCUAGCCUCACUCUGCCUAUAAGUAGACUGCGACCAGAACGAGAAACUCACCUUCCGCGCUUUCUGUACUUAAAACUUCGCCGCCCCUGUUUGUUCUUCAUAUUUCUGAUUUUUGAUGGCUUAGGGUUUUCUUCUCUCGAUUGAAUUUUUCUUCAUACUUUGUAGUUGAUUAGCAAUGUGGAGGUUUUUGUUUCUCUGUGAUGAUGAACAAUGAUGACGAGUCCGAUUCUAAUCCAUUCACCCGUGACGACAAAACGAGGCAUUUGUCUGAGAGAAAUCAAACCUCCAUUCUUUUCUUUUAUCAAAUGGCUCACAUUUUUUAUCUCUCUUUACGAUUAUGAGGCUUUAUUGAAGCUUUUGUUGAUGAUUUUCCUUUUAUUUGAUUGAAACUGAGGUUGUUAGAUUAAAGCACAAGUGCGGCGAUGAUGAGAAUACAGACUCUGGUUUAAUUGAAACUGAGAUUGUUUCUGUGAGUAUUUCUCAAGCACUUUUGAGCCGUUUGUGGGAAUACUUGGAUGAAUCUAUUUCCUGAGUGUUUCUUUCAAACGCAAUAAACCAGCCCACGACAUUCUUGUCUGUCUCCAAUAAAAAAAUUUCUAUGCAUUUUAUCAGAUGAGCAAUCAAAAUCCUUCUGUUUGGAGUUAUUUUUCGUACGAAGUUAUUUUAAAUCAAAAGUGGAGUAGUGGAGUUUGAAUAUUUAACCAUCUAGUCAUGUGCAGGUUCGUUCUUUGUCAAGUUUCAAGUACCUUGAUUUGGUGAUGUUACUUGGAUAAAGAUCGUGUACGCAGUUCUUCUGCCUGUUCCCAACUGCUGGACCUUUAUUUGUUAAUAAAGCUUGUUGUGGCUAUGCCCAUCCAACUCUCAAUGUGUAUGUAUAAUAAGUAUAGUAUUGGUUAUGAGAGGAAUUCAAUUUAACCCUAUAAUUUAUUCCUUCAUCUAUUUCUUUCUUAGUACUAUUCCAUGUCAACUUGUUUUUUCUUCUCUUUUCAAAUUCAUUAUACAAACAUGUUAGGAACCCUCGUCUUUUCAACGUCUGACAAACCUUCGUGUUAACGGUAUCCAGACUAAAUUGUAAUAUAUAACGUGCUUCCCAAGA